GGGUGAAUAGAUAUAUUAAGUAAGUUUUUUAGUUUAAUAUUCUUGAAGUCUUAGAUGUUACAUGUGAAUGUCUGAUUGAAUGAAAAUCCUGAGAGUGAGUUAGUCCUACAGUAAUAUGCUCACAUUUUACUCUUCUCCAAUUUCAGUAUUAUGGACUGCAAAUAUUGGAAAAUGUGAUAAAAACAAGAUGGAAGAUUCUUCCAAGGAACCAGUGUGAAGGUAUAAAAAAGUAUGUUGUUGGCCUAAUUAUCAAGACAUCAUCUGAUCCAACGUGUGUAGAAAAAGAGAAGGUGUAUAUUGGGAAACUGAACAUGAUUCUUGUUCAGAUUCUGAAACAGGAAUGGCCAAAGCACUGGCCAACUUUUAUAAGUGAUAUUGUAGGAGCAAGCAGGACUAGUGAAAGCCUUUGUCAGAACAACAUGGUGAUCCUUAAACUAUUGAGUGAAGAAGUGUUUGAUUUCUCCAGUGGCCAGAUAACUCAA